AAAAAAAGAUAUAAAGACAGACAAAACUAGCAUUCUCGUCAGUCGUAUAGCCAUGCCCUAAUCCUCCUUUACAAGAUCCAUGCCAUUAGGAACCUAGCUACUUUCAUGGCUGAAUCAUCCAAGUAGACUAUAAACUUCUUAUCCCAUCUCUUCUUUUCACACACCAAAAGCUUGCUUUGCUAUAUAUAAUUAAAAGAAAAUUCAACUUGAGUCAUUUCUUGUUAAUCUACAUUUCAUUUUUUUGUUUUCUUGUUUUGGUUCGAUAAUUAAUAAUACAUAAGGAUAUCAUCAACUUUAGCGUGGAUUGAUUUUGU
rnacentral:misc_RNA from 1 species